rnacentral:rRNA from 1 species
AGAGCUUGCUUUCUCAAGCGAGUGGCGGACGGGUGAGUAACGCGUGGAUAACCUGCCUCACACAGGGGGACAACAGCCGGAAACGGCUGCUAAUACCGCAUAACACAAGUAAUUCGCAUGAAUAACUUGCCAAAGAUUUCAUCGGUGUGAGAUGGAUCCGCGUCUGAUUAGCCAGUUGGCGGGGUAACGGCCCACCAAAGCGACGAUCAGUAGCCGGACUGAGAGGUUGACCGGCCACAUUGGGACUGAGAUACGGCCCAGACUCC